CCUACGGGUGGCUGCAGCAACGAAUCUUCCCCAAUGCCGGAAACGGUGAGGGAGCGACGCCGCGUGUGGACGAAGUACUUCGGUAUGUAAACCACUGUUAGGAUUCCAAAGCCGGUGAGAAAGGGACGGCUAACUCUGUGCCAGCAGCCGCGGUAAUACAGAGGUCCCGAGCGUUACUGAGAAUCACUGGGUUUAAAGGGUGCGUAGGUGGCGCGUUAAGUCCGUUGUGAAAUCCCUGGGCUCAACCCAGGAACUGCUUCGGAUACUGGCGCGCUUGAGGCCGGUAGGGGUCACUGGAACAGACGGUGGAGCGGUGAAAUGCGUAGAUAUCGUCUGGAACGCCGGUGGUGAAGACGGGUGACUGGGCCGGUCUGACACUGAGGCACGAAAGCGUGGGGAGCGAACGGGAUUAGAUACCCUUGUAGUC
rnacentral:rRNA from 1 species